UUCAACAAUAUGGGAAGCAUAAGACAUCUACGGAUUUUAUUAGGACGGUCACUAAUGUUGGGGAUCCUAAUUCUGUGUACAAAGUUACAUUAAACACGUAGUGGGAGUCUGGUGACAGUGCAGGCUGAUAAGCUUGUUUUUGGGAGGAGUGGGCAGAAAUUGAGCUUCCUUAUUAGAUUGGAAACCAUGGCAGUGAAGCUCUCUCAUGGGAGCUCAAGCUUGAAGAGUGGUUCUA
rnacentral:misc_RNA from 1 species